CUCUGCAGCCUCCUAUUGAUGAGGAUAAUUACAUUAGCUCAGAGUGACUGAUCAAUGAAAAACCACCACACAAAAACUUCUUUACUCCUCUAUAAUACCAAAAACCGAUACAGAAAUAACAUAGAAAGCCUGAUUUUCUCUCCCUUUCCUAUCCACCAAUAGAUUCUGCCCCCCCUCCCCCCAAAAGGACUGGGAGUAAAGUAAGAAAAUAGACCCAGGUUUGUUUCGUUUAAAGGAGGAUGCAAUUUUGUCCGUGAAUGCAUUUUCUCAGAAUGCAUUGGCUUCAUUCCUCCUUUGCUAAAGAAUAUCAACGGAUUUGUUAAUAGAACCUAGUCCAGGGACAUCCAGUGUGUCAGAUCAAAUCCCAGCAACAAAGUUUUGCUGGAAACGGAAAGGGUGGCUGAAGUGCACCAAAAUAAACCGCAAUGUCUUUUGACACUUGAUCGUACUCGACUGCUUCACGUCAAAUGCAAGUGUGGAACUCGUACUCUUUGAGGGUGUCUGGUUAUGUUUUCAACUGUUUUGGUGCAUACAGGCGUUUUCUCGGCUUCCCAAUUAAUCCUCACGGA